CCAGCCCCGGGGUCCCUAGGUGUUUCCAUUCCUGAUCAGGACUGAACACAGACCACUUACCAUGGGGUUUUGUCUCAGCUGGGUUUUUAUUGUGGCUCUUUUAAGAGGUGUCCAGUGUGAGGUGCAUCUGGUGGAGUCUGGGGAAGGCUUGGAGCAGCCUGUGGGGUGGAGGGGGUCUCUGAGACUCUCCUGUGCAGGCUC